UACGAGGGGGGCAAAUGUUGUUCGGAAUCACUGGGCGUAAAGGGAGCGUAGGCGGGUUUCUAAGUCAGGUGUUUAAUCCCGGGGCCCAACCCCGGACAGGCACUUGAAACUGGGAAUCUUGAAUAGUGGAGAGGUCAGUGGAAUUGGGGGUGUAGCGGUGAAAUUCGUAGAUAUUCGCAAGAACACCAGUGGCGAAGGCGGCUUACUGGUCCGGUUCUGACGCUGAGGCGCGAAAGCGUGGGGAGCAAACAGG
rnacentral:rRNA from 1 species